AAUAAAGAAUCCUUUUACCUACCUGGAAGUGUUGGUGGUGGUGUUAGUGGUGGUGAUUUAGUUGCUAAAUUGUGUCCAACUCUUUGUAGCCCACAGGGCUCUUCUGUCCAGGAGAGUCUCCAGGCAAGAAUAGUAGAGUGGGUUGCUAUUUCCUCCUCCAGGGGAUCAUCCCAACUCAGGGAUCGAACCCACAUCUCCUGCAUUACAGGCGGAUUCUUUACUGCUGAGCCACCAGGGAAGCCUGGAAGGAUUGUUAAGGGGCUUUGUAUAAGAACAUGCGUAUUUUUUCCUUUCCUUAAAAAUCGAGUUGGGUUGGGAGAGAUCUGGGGGUUGUGUGUGUGUGUGUGUGGGGGGGUCCUCCAGCUUCAGGCUCAGCAGGGGGCUUCGAUCCCUUUGGGAUGCAGACCUUGGGUCCCCAGGCAUCAGGGAGCUUGCUUGUCAUCUGGAGCUAAGGUGUCUGUCCUGUCUAGCUUAGGGCAUUUUUUUCUAGGUGGGCUGCAGAGGCAGGUGGGGGGGGGGGGGCGGGUGGGUGGGAAGGCCUUCAGAAGAAGGCUGAGUGAAACAACUACAGUCAGGACCCGGGUGGUACCAGGGAGCCUCAGCACCAAGUGGGUGGGGUGGAAUGGGAUUUCCUGGGGAGCAUUUGGUUUAGAGAGCGUGGGCGUUUGUGCCUGUGUCCAGGGCAACUGCAUGUCUUGGUCUCAGGAUGUGGGAAAACCCCCCUGGAGACCAGGACAGUCGAUCGGUCCUCCUGAGGCCCUUCUGCCGACCCCUGGCCUUCCAGGGCCCCCGAGCCAAGGAAGCCUGGCUCUGGGGCUGCAGCUGACCUGGGCGUGGCAGCUGGAGGUCAGAGCCCUGGGGUCACAGCAGAGGAGGGGGCUCUCGGGCCUCCGGCCACAUGAGGGCCAUGGGAGGACCCCAGCACCUCCCUGGUCCCGCGUCUGUCAGGAGGACAGGUGGUGGCUUCACAGGGUCGAUUACACACACUCCUGUCUGAACGCGCCCGGGGAGGUCCCCGGGGGCAGGCACUCAGUCACUGGCUUGUUGAGCUGA
rnacentral:lncRNA from 1 species